UACGUAGGGGGCAAGCGUUGUCCGGAAUUAUUGGGCGUAAAGAGCUCGUAGGCGGUGUGUCACGUCGGCCGUGAAAACCUGCAGCUUAACUGUGGGCGUGCGGUCGAUACGGGCAUCACUGGAGUUCGGCAGGGGAGACUGGAAUUCCUGGUGUAGCGGUGAAAUGCGCAGAUAUCAGGAAGAACACCAAUGGCGAAGGCAGCUCUCUGGGACGGUACUGACGCUGAGACGCGAAAGCGUGGGGAGCGAACAGG
rnacentral:rRNA from 1 species